ACCGAACACAGAAGUUAAGCCUUCUAACGCCGAUGGUACUCGGAGGGAGACCUCCCGGGAGACUAGGAAGUUGCCAAAC
rnacentral:rRNA from 1 species